rnacentral:rRNA from 4 species
UGCAGAAUCCCGCGAAUCAUCGAGUCUUUGAACGCAAGUUGCGCCCGAAGCCAUCUGGUCGAGGGCACGUCUGCCUGGGUGUCACGC